rnacentral:misc_RNA from 1 species
UACGGAGGGUGCAAGCGUUAUUCGGAAUCAUUGGGCGUAAAGCGCGCGCAGGCGGCCAAACAAGUCUGACGUGAAAUCCCGGGGCUCAACCUCGGAACUGCGUUGGAAACUGUAUGGCUUGAGUUUGGGAGAGGUUCGUGGAAUUCCAGGUGUAGGGGUGAAAUCCGUAGAGAUCUGGAGGAACACCAGUGGCGAAGGCGACGAACUGGACCAAUACUGACGCUGAGGCGCGAAAGCGUGGGGAGCAAACAGG